GCAGCAGCCACGGUAAUACGGAGGAUCCAAGCGUUAUCCGGAAUCAUUGGGUUUAAAGGGUCCGUAGGCGGUCUUGUAAGUCAGUGGUGAAAGCCCAUCGCUCAACGGUGGAACGGCCAUUGAUACUGCAGGACUUGAAUUAUUGGGAAGUAACUAGAAUAUGUAGUGUAGCGGUGAAAUGCUUAGAGAUUACAUGGAAUACCAAUUGCGAAGGCAGGUUACUACCAAUUGAUUGACGCUGAUGGACGAAAGCGUGGGUAGCGAACAGGAUUAGAUACCCGCGUAGUCCCUGUCUCUUAUAC
rnacentral:rRNA from 1 species